rnacentral:tRNA from 1 species
GCCUCAUUAGCACAAUGGCUAGUGCGCCUGUUUCGUAAUCAGGUGAUGCGGGUUCGAUUCCUGCAUGGGGCU